UUGUCAGAUCUAUGAUUUACCAUAAGAGAAGCAUGUUUGGAUCCAUUACUAAAUGACCUUAGCCAUCUGAUGCCUUUAUUCAAUGUUGGGAAAUCAUCAAAGACUUCAUCUUCCCAUGUAAUGCUUGUGAAGAAGAAUUGAUCACGAGCAGGGCAAAACUGUUCAUGCUCAUUUCACAGGAUAAAACAAACCAAAAGACUUAUCUCCAUAGGUAACUUAGCUUGGCUACCCUAUCAAAGUGACUCAACUAGAAUUAGAAUCAAAGGAUAACAGAAAUUAAACCUGAGCAUACAACAAACUUAGCCAUAAAUUACUAACCUAAUUCUCUGGUGCAUAUUCAAUCAGGCAAGCAACUGUGCAGAAAAGGUUGAAAAAUAGAGAAGGACCUGAUUAGAGAGCUGUACUCUCCAGAAGUGGCUGCUCAAAUUUUAGCUAUCUCUAUCUCAAGCUGUUGAGUUACUGAUAAGCUGCUAUGGCCUCAUACAACACAACAUAUUUAGUUUUGUAGGUAUGCACAAGCCUAUGAUGCGCAACAUGUUGAUUAGAGUAGCUACUAGAGUGUACCAGGGCAAGUGUUGCUGACAGUUGAAGGGCACUGGCAGAGUAGGCUUGUUUUGGUUAGUGGAAGAUUGGAGGACCUGUGUUUGGAAAAGAAGAAGGUUCCUUGGCAACUUGCUGCGCUGACUGAAGAACACGAGUGCAAGGGAGUUGGAGAACGCCAGUGUUGUACAUUGGCUGUGCAUGGGAGUCACUAAUGAGGCUAAAGGCCAGGUCUGCACAAGUCUUUAAUGCACAACAAGCAGAUCAGAGUAACUGCAGGAAAGUACCAAGGCAGGUGUUUCAGGUUGUGGAGGGUUGUAGGAGUUGCUGACAAUUUAGGGACACUAGUAGAGAUAGUGUGAAUGGGAUGAUUUUGGCUUUGUAGCCAAAUCAAUUUUCGGCAGGCUGUUGCAGUUCUUCCAUAUGCAAUCAAAUGGCAUGCAGCUAGAUGCCACUGUUCGGAAAGCAUUAACUAAGGCUAUACAGCUUGGUUUUUGUAGACUUGUUUCCAUAAUUUCUAUGAGUGGAUGACCUAUUUUUGAGAAGAAGGUUUCCUUGGCAACUUGCUGUGCUGAUUGAAGACCACAAGUGCAUGGAAGUUGGAGAACGCUAGUGGUUGUAUAUUUUGUGCAUAAGAGAGUUGCUACAGAUGUUGGGGCCUUGCUUCAAAUUCUUUUGAACAUUUUUGGACUCUACUACCGGCCAACGCUUCAGACAUUAUUGUAUUAAUAAACCAUACCCAAAAAGAAAAAAGAAGACCAAAAGAAAUAAGUUAAAUUAACACCUUUUCUGGACUAAUUUAAGCUAUGGCAUGCAACUAAAUGCAAUCAUGAACAUUGUAAGACAUCAUAUAAGAGAUUCAUGUACUUAACGUGAAAAUUAUAUUCAACUCUCCUUUUAGAUUCAAAUAAGAGCAAUUGAAUUAACCAUCUAA